GCAAUGGGGCAGACUACACAUGCAGUCGAGCGAGCUCUUCGGAGCUAGCGGCGGACGGGUUAGUAACGCGUGGGAACGUGCCCUUCACUGCGGAAUAGCCACUGGAAACGGUGAGUAAUACCGCAUACGCCCUUCGGGGGAAAGAUUUAUCGGUGAAGGAUCGGCCCGCGUUAGAUUAGAUAGUUGGUGGGGUAACGGCCUACCAAGUCUACGAUCUAUAGCUGGUUUUAGAGGAUGAUCAGCAACACUGGGACUGAGACACGGCCCAGACUCCUACGGGAGGCAGCAGUGGGGAAUCUUGGACAAUGGGCGCAAGCCUGAUCCAGCCAUGCCGCGUGAGUGAUGAAGGCCUUAGGGUCGUAAAGCUCUUUCGCCAGAGAUGAUAAUGACAGUAUCUGGUAAAGAAACCCCGGCUAACUCCGUGCCAGCAGCCGCGGUAAUACGGAGGGGGUUAGCGUUGUUCGGAAUUACUGGGCGUAAAGCGCACGUAGGCGGAUCAGAAAGUUGGGGGUGAAAUCCCGGGGCUCAACCCCGGAACUGCCUCCAAAACUCCUGGUCUUGAGUUCGAGAGAGGUGAGUGGAAUUCCGAGUGUAGAGGUGAAAUUCGUAGAUAUUCGGAGGAACACCAGUGGCGAAGGCGGCUCACUGGCUCGAUACUGA
rnacentral:rRNA from 1 species